AUGGCUCCAUGAAGCAAGAGGAGGAGGCAGAGCGCGAGAGAUCCCGUCCGCCCCAGCCGCGUCUGGGCCAGGAGAAAAGCAAAACCAUAUUCCUGCUGCUGUCAGUUUUGAUGCACUGAGAAAACUUCAGAGACCUAAGCUUUUUCCAGAGAAGAGAAGCUUUACUGGUGUUCCAGCCCUAAGGCUCAUAUGACAUUAACAGACAAGACACUUUUCAGAAAGACAGGCAACGUGUUGGACCUUCCGGAGCUUCUCAGAAGACAGAGGGUUUUCUUUUGAGGCUGUUGUACAGUGGCCUGAUUAUAGCUCACUGUAGCCUCGAAAUUCUGGGCCGAAAUGAUCCGCCUGCCUCAGCCUCCAAAGUAGCUGAGACUACAGACUCUGGAAGUCUCUCUUUGGCGAACACCUAGCCCCCAACUCCCAGGGCACUUCCCAGACAGCCAAUGCCACAUCCCAGGCAGCCCCUGCUCUGCCCUUGGGGUCUGUGCCUGGCAGAAGGGCGGCAGACCCUCGGCCCCUCUUGGCCUGGGCCCCAGCUCCUCCGGGCCCUGGAACCAGCAGAAACACCCACCCUGCGCCUGAUGGACUGGACAUGCUUGUUCCCAUUGGUGAUGGUGUGUUGGGAGGGAACUGUUUUAGAAACCAAUGUAAAUCUGUGUCUACAUCAAUUCCA
rnacentral:lncRNA from 1 species